rnacentral:rRNA from 1 species
GACAGAGGGGGCAAGCGUUGCUCGGAAUCACUGGGCGUAAAGGGCGCGUAGGCGGGAUGGCAAGUCGGUCGUGAAAUCCUUCGGCUCAACCGAAGAACGUCGGCCGAUACUGCCGUUCUUGAGGGAUGCAGAGGAGAUUGGAAUUCCCGGUGUAGCGGUGAAAUGUGUAGAGAUCGGGAGGAACACCGGUGGCGAAGGCGGGUCUCUGGGCAUCUCCUGACGCUGAGGCGCGAAAGCGUGGG